rnacentral:rRNA from 1 species
CAGUCGCCGCGGGAAUACGGAGGGUGCAAGCGUUAAUCGGAAUUACUGGGCGUAAAGCGCACGCAGGCGGUCUGACAAGUCAGAUGUGAAAUCCCCGGGCUUAACCUGGGAACUGCAUUUGAAACUGUCGGGCUGGAGUCUUGUAGAGGGGGGUAGAAUUCCAGGUGUAGCGGUGAAAUGCGUAGAGAUCUGGAGGAAUACCGGUGGCGAAGGCGGCCCCCUGGACAAAGACUGACGCUCAGGUGCGAAAGCGUGGGGAGCAAACAGGAUUAGAUACCCCGGUAGUCCCUGUCUCUUAUAC